UACGGGGGGGGGCAAGCGUUGUUCGGAAUUACUGGGCGUAAAGGGCUCGUAGGCGGCCAACUAAGUCGGAUGUGAAAUCCCCAGGCUCAACUUGGGAACUGCAUCCGAUACUGGAUGGCUUGAAUUCGGGAGAGGGAUGCAGAAUUCCAGGUGUAGCGGUGAAAUGCGUGAGAUAUCUGGAGGAAUACCGGUGGCGAAGGCGGCAUCCUGGACCGACAUCGACGCUGAGGAGCGAAAGCUAGGGGAGCAAACGGG
rnacentral:rRNA from 1 species